rnacentral:rRNA from 1 species
GGUUGCGAUCAUACCAGCACUAAUGCACCGGAUCCCAUCAGAACUCCGCAGUUAAGCGCGCUUGGGCUAGAGCAGUACUAGGAUGGGUGACCCCCUGGAAGUCCUCGUGUUGCAACCCU